GUCUUGAUGUCCAUUAUGAUAUGUAAUUAUAAGAAACAUACCGAAAGCAAUAAAGUGUUUAUGGUCUUAGAAUAACCUUCAAUAUGAGUUUGAGGCACUUUAAUUUAUCGUGAUCGUGUCUUGAACUGGUGUCAGUUCUUCAUAGCCGUUUUUCCUUAUUUUCAAUAACAAAUAAUGCAGUCGUCUAAUCCAAGUCAGAAAUCCUACGCAUUUAUAUAUGUGAAAAAUUGCCGCCAAUGCUAUAAAAUCAAUAGUGGAAUGCUUAGAGGGUAUCGUUAACGAGUGUGGAUCAAUUUUAAGUUAGUUCAAAACGAGGAUUAUCUAUGAUGACAAGUUGCAAAUUACAGUGGGACAGUUUAGCGCGGAUGCUGCGUAUUAUCUUGUUCACCACUUCAGCAUAUUAUCGUCAUUAAUGUGUGGCACGGUAUGCUCGAUACUUUAGUGUGUGUAUUAGUUCGCUAGCACUGAGAAAAUUUUUACUGGAGUUUAUAAAAAAACCAACACGCAGAAAGACAAAAAGAGGAAGAAGAGGGAGAAGAAGAAGAAGAAGAAGAAAAACACAGCAGUGCAAACAUACUUGACCUAUUUUCCAUGUGGACUCGCACUGAUCAAAAGGAAAUAUUGAACCAGCUUACCUGCAGCUUUAUUGGACGAUGGCUUCGACUUCUCCAAGUCAAGAGACGGCUGGUUAGUUCUCCUGCUCGUAUGCCUUCAGUAGAAUCUAAAUUUUGAUAAAACCGUGGUCGAAACCGGAAAUUUCUGUAAAACAAAUAUAUAAAAAAUAGGAUAAUAUUGUAAUAUUAGGUCACGUAAUAUAAAAUUGAUUAAACAUACAAAUAUCGAAUGUAAACACUAAACAAUAAAACGCAAACAAAAUUUCAUUUA